AAAGCUCCUACUUAGCAAUCAUUGGCUGGAGAGCAUUCUGCUGACCAAUCAGGACUGAAGGGUGUGGCCUCUCAUUGUCUUGGGAGUAUAUAUAUAGGCGCACCAGAAGCGGAGGGUAGACCACAGGGAGGCUUCAAUAUAUAAGCUCAACAGAGUUCGAGGGUAAACCACUGAGAGGCUUCAAUAUGGGUAAGGCAACGAAGAAAACUCAGGAGACUAACAACGAUGUGAGCAAGCCAACCUCAACUACUAAAGGAAGAAAGGUGAACACUCCUCGUCAAGCUAGUCCCACAGGCUGUUGCCAGACUUACGUGGAUGAUGAACAACCCUCCUGCAGUACCGCGGUACAAAAGAUAAAGACUCCUAAAAAGGUCAACUUCAAACUUGGUGGCAAGGUAGUAAAGGCCACCAAGAAGGGAAAAGCACCCGCUAAAAAGAACUCAAAGAAGAAGGCCGCUGAAAACACUCGGAAGCUCGUCAAAAAGAUCAAGAAAACCAAAGGCAUAACUCUCUUUGGUCAUUACCACCGUAUGAAUAAAAAAAUGAAAAAGGAUGAGGCAGAGGAAAACUAAAGCACCACCAGUGAUGAGCUGAAAAGUGAUGAGCCGGAAAACCUGUAACUGCAAAGAGCAGAGACCUCAAACCCAUCUUCAAUGUGUAUAGAGGUCUGGCUAAGAAACAGCUCAUCAUGUACACUGACGGUGGCAAAAAUAAAAUCAGUCUGAUGUGAAAGAUGCGAGUCCUUGUGGUCUUUGAUGGUGAAAGGGAAGGGAGGAAAAAAGAGGCAGGUGUGUGAGAA
rnacentral:lncRNA from 1 species